rnacentral:rRNA from 1 species
UACGUAGGGUGCGAGCGUUGUCCGGAAUUAUUGGGCGUAAAGAGCUUGUAGGCGGUGUGUCGCGUCUGCUGUGAAAACUCGGGGCUCAACCCUGAGCUUGCAGUGGGUACGGGCAUACUAGAGUGUGGUAGGGGAGACUGGAAUUCCUGGUGUAGCGGUGGAAUGCGCAGAUAUCAGGAGGAACACCGAUGGCGAAGGCAGGUCUCUGGGCCAUAACUGACGCUGAGAAGCGAAAGCAUGGGGAGCGAACAGG